UGGCUGAGUUAUUUUUUAUUUUGUUGAGUUAUUGUUAUGUUAUGGCUGUGUUAUUGUUAUCUUGCGGCUGAUUUAUUGUUGGGUUAUAUGAUCAGAUGGAUGUUGCUGAAGUUAAAUCAGGGGAGUACCCUCUAAAACUUUACCCUGAAGGGUCUUCUAACCUAGAAAAUAAAGAUACUAAUCACAAUUUCCAUCUAGGAAAUUUCC
rnacentral:lncRNA from 1 species